UACGUAGGCAGCGAGCGUUGUUCGGAAUUACUGGGCGUAAAGCGCACGUAGGCGGCUUUGUAAGUUAGAGGUGAAAGCCCGGGGCUCAACUCCGGAAUUGCCUUUAAGACUGCAUCGCUAGAAUUGUGGAGAGGUAAGUGGAAUUCCGAGUGUAGAGGUGAAAUUCGUAGAUAUUCGGAAGAACGCCAGUGGCGAAGGCGACUUACUGGACACAUAUUGACGCUGAGGUGCGAAAGCGUGGGGAGCAAACAGG
rnacentral:rRNA from 1 species